GACGAACGCUGGCGGCGUGCUUAACACAUGCAAGUCGAACGGAAAGGCCCUGCUUGCAGGGUACUCGAGUGGCGAACGGGUGAAUAACACGUGGGUGAUCUGCCCUGCACUUCGGGAUAAGCCUGGGAAACUGGGUCUAAUACCGGAUAGGAGCCAUUUUUAGUGUGAUGGUUGGAAAGUUUUUUCGGUGUAGGAUGAGCUCGCGGCCUAUCAGCUUGUUGGUGGGGUAAUGGCCUACCAAGGCGGCGACGGGUAGCCGGCCUGAGAGGAUGGACGGCCACAUUGGGACUGAGAUACGGCCCAGACUCCUACGGGAGGCAGCAGUGGGGAAUAUUGCACAAUGGGCGCAAGCCUGAUGCAGCGACGCCGCGUGGGGGAUGACGGCCUUCGGGUUGUAAACUCCUUUCGCUAGGGACGAAGCUUUUUGUGACGGUACCUAGAUAAGAAGCACCGGCUAACUACGUG
rnacentral:rRNA from 1 species